GUAGGGAAUAUUGGGCAAUGGUCGGAAGACUGACCCAGCCAUGCCGCGUGCAGGAAGACGGCCCUCUGGGUUGUAAACUGCUUUUAUCUGGGAAGAAAAAGGCCAUGCGUGGCAAAUUGCCGGUACCAGAUGAAUAAGCACCGGCUAACUCCGUGCCAGCAGCCGCGGUAAUACGGAGGGUGCGAGCGUUGUCCGGAUUUAUUGGGUUUAAAGGGUGCGUAGGCGGCUGAUUAAGUCAGCGGUGAAAGACUUCGGCUUAACCGGAGCAGUGCCGUUGAUACUGGUUGGCUUGAGCGUCGGAGGGGUACAUGGAAUUGAUGGUGUAGCGGUGAAAUGCAUAGAUACCAUCAGGAACACCGAUAGCGAAGGCAUUGUACUGGCCGACAACUGACGCUGAUGCACGAAAGUGUGGGGAUCGAACAGGAUUAGAAACCCUUGUAGUCC
rnacentral:rRNA from 1 species